UCCUGUGGAGUAUCUGAAGCUUUCUUCCUGUUUCCUGUGGAGUAUCUGAAGCUUUCUUCCUGUUUCCUGUGGAGUGCCCCUAGAAGGUCAUACUCUGCCAUUUUGUCUCCUGAUGUAUAUGUCCAGGAAGUUGCCUCUCCCUGGCAUCUGCAUUUAAUUUACACUUUAAUGUGGCAGCUGUGGACCCUCAGGAGAUUGUCUCUCCCUGGUGCUGGCUGCUAAAUGAUGGUUUUUAGGGAGGCAAUGUGAUAACUAUUGAAUGGUCACCUGGUGAUCACCUGACAUUCCUGGUGGAUGGGAAGAGCCCUCACCCGCCCUGCUCAUGCCUGUCUAGAACCUGUAACAAGAACAUAGAAGUUCUGAACUCCACUGACCCGGUUUGUUUGCAGUAAGGUCGAGGUCGCUUAUCCACGAGGAGUAAGAGGCCAUGCUGAGUGAGCUCAGUGGGGAGCUGAGGUGGGGAGAGCCCAGGUUGCCUGGAAGUGCAAGCUCACAGGCUGUCUCUGUGUCCUCUGUCCUUCAUCCUCUCUUCAUCCAGGGAAGCUGGAGGACUGCAGUUCUACAUACUAUCCUGCCCUGAGCCCCACUUCAGGCUGUCAGCCAGCCUUGUCUCCAGCCUGCUCACCACUCACUGAUGCGUUUUGCACCUCUUAGUCAUAACUGCUCAAACAAGGCUCAUUCUGAUGAAAAGAAGGGGGUGUAGAAGAGCAAUUUUCAAGUUGUCAUUCUGGUAUUUCAUCUUGGGAAACCAGAAACCUACAAAACAGCAAGGGUUUGCAUACUGGAAGACUCCUCAGCCCGCCCCAGAAGAGGCACUCCAGCAGAGAACUCAGGCCCUUCACCAUGCUGCUGCAUGGUUCCUGACACUUGUGCAGUCCGUUCCGAAGCUUCUUACAGUUGAGGUGGGUGACUGCAAAUAGGCACUGCUUCUCCUCUGUGUCAGAGUAAGCACGGGCAGUGCAGGGUGGCUGCACGUCCUGAGUUGCCUGGGACAGUCCUGGUUUACACCAUUGCUCUGUUUUAAUUUUUAUCAAUGACAUUUUUCACUCAAAGCUGUCCCCAGUUGGAAGAUAAAGGUACGUGGUGACUGCAAUUAUGCGGCAUGUGUGCUUUGCCUUAGAGAAAAGAGAGGUGACAAAAGUUCUAAGUGAAGAAGAUAAAGUACAGCUUGACCAGCUGAUAAAUAUGUUGUGGGGUUUUGGAGGAGAAUUUCAGCAAGAGCAGUUGACUCCAGAUGAUAUGCAAGGCUGCUUUUGACCUCUCUGUCUGAAAGGACAUACUUAAAAUCCAGUAUUUGUUUGCUGUUCCCCCUUUAUUUAUUUUGAGACAGAGUCUCACUGUGUUGCCCAGGUUGGAGUGCGGUGGCACGAUCUCGGCUCACUGCAACCUCCGCCUCCUGGAUUCAAGCAGUUCUCCUGCCUCAGCCUCCUGAGUAGCUGGGAUUACAGGCGUGUACCACCACGCUUGCCUAAUUUUUGUAUUUAGUGGAGACGAGGUUUCACCACAUUGGCCGUUCUGGUCUUGAACUCCUGACCUCAGGUGAUCCACCUGCCUUGGCCUUCCAAAGUGCUGGGAUUACGGGCAGCACAGGGUGGCUGCACAUCCUAAGUUGCCUAGGACAGUCCUGGUUUACACCAUUGCUCUGUUUUAAUUUUUAUUAGUGACAUUUUUCACUCAAUGCUGUCCCCAGUUGGAAGAUAAAGGUAUGUGGUGACUGCAAUUAUGUGGCAUGAGGUGGUUCUUGCCUCCAUGCCUGUGUGCGACAUGAAGUUCCUAGGUUCAUGUUAGAAAAUCGUCUUCCUAGAAAAGGAUUUUAUUUUAUUUUAUUUAUUUUUUUUUUUAGUUUAUUGGGGUUGGGAGCUUUUUGGGGAGACACUGACCAGAAGCCUAAGUGACCAAUA
rnacentral:lncRNA from 1 species